GUCAAAUACAGCAUCGCCAUACUUGCAACUGACCUCGACAUGGUCGUGCACGCGUGCUGUAAAUACAACUUCCCUUUUUGUCCGCUUCCUAGAGAAUGUCUACACCAGAGAAGCGCGCGUACGCUGCUGCGGCAUCCAGCAAGUAUCCGAACUACAUCAAUGACCGAGAUAUUUGCAAGCGUUUUCUUGAGGAGUUCAGGGACUCUACGGGAGAGGCGAAGUAUGUAAUUCAGGCCCAUCACAUUGCGCAGCGACAGAGCAUUGUAUAUCCCAUCUUUCUCGACGAUGUUGCGGGUUUCGGGCAGCUUCAUCUAGCGCAAAGGAUUCAGAUGAACGUUGUCGGAUACAUGGAGGAGCUUUACAGGGUUGUCGACUCUAUUAUUCCUCAAACUGACCGCGUUGUGGACAUGGUGGACCAACUGGUCAUGGAGGCACGGAUGUCUGGCCAAGAGCUGCCCGCCUUGCUGACACGUCGAUAUGAGCUGAAAAUACACCCGCUUAGCGAAGACAGUGCUCCCAUUCCUCUGCGAGAGUUGAGAGGAGGAAAGAUCGGCACGCUGACUGUUCUUCGCGGCAUUUGCAUCGCUGCCACUGCAGUCCGCCCAAAGCUCUCUAUGCUCGUGUCGGUGUGCGAGGUUUGCGCCGAGACGACCUUCCAGCAGGUCAUCGGUGAUCGCCUAACACCGCUACAGGUGUGUCAAUCGCAGCGCUGCAAGCUGAACAAUGCUGUGGGUAGGCUGUUGGCACAGAAUAAGGCAAGCAAGUUCAUGAAAUAUCAGGAACUACGGGUGCAGGAGCUGCCCGAAGAUGUUCCGCGUGGCGCCAUCCCGCGGACCAUCCGUGUUGUCUGCGAAGGAGAGCAAACCCGUAUUGCUGCACCGGGGCAGGUUGUUCGUAUCACAGGAGUCUACUGUCCGGACCCUUCCACUGGGCAGGGUCACGAGGCCUUCCGCGCGUCCACGAUGGUGAAAACACUUUACAAAGCUAUCCACGUCGAGUUAGAGAAGAGAAGCUACCAGGAAGCAGCAGAGGACAUGCGCGCACAGGUGGAGGAUAUCCGGGACUAUCCUGACCGAGAAGCCGUCAUUGAAAAGCUCACCCGCAGCAUAGCGCCCGAGAUCUGGGGUAUGGAGGACGUGAAGAAGGCACUCUUAUGUCAGCUUGUCGGAGGUAGCUCCAUUGCAAACGGCAUUCGGAUUCGCAGCGACAUCAAUAUCCUUUUCAUGGGAGAUCCCGGAGUGGCGAAGAGUCAGCUUCUGAAGUGGAUUGCAUCUGUUGCACCCCGAUCCGUGUUUACGACCGGUAAGGGCAGCUCUGGAGUUGGGCUUACGGCUGCUGUAACUCACGAUACCCACACAGGUGAGGUGAUGCUCGAGGGCGGCGCACUCGUUUUGUCCGAUAAGGGAGUUUGCUGCAUCGAUGAGUUCGACAAAAUGGAUGACUCUGACCGCACAGCUCUGCACGAGGUCAUGGAGCAGCAGAUGGUUUCUAUCGCCAAGGCGGGUAUCAUCACGUCGCUGAACGCGCGCACGUCCAUUCUCGCCGCGGCGAAUCCCAAGUUUGGUCGGUGGAAGCGUAACGCGACGCCAACGGAGAACGUGAAUUUACCGCCAGCACUUCUUUCUCGUUUCGAUCUGCUCUGGCUGCUGCUCGACGAAUCGAGCCGGGAGCGCGAUGCUGAGCUUUCGAUGCACGUUACCCACGUCCACCUCCACGGUGUCGCGCCUGGCACGGUGGCGGAUGAUGGAGUGCGAGGUACCACCACCGAGUAUUUUGGCCGCGACUUUUUGCGGGCGUACGUGGGUGAGGUCAAGCGCAUUCACCCCUACGUUGACCCAGGUGCCGCCAAGGCCAUCAGUGACAUUUACUGUGAAAUGCGAGCGCAGAGUGUGCGAUAUAGCAAUGUCGUCACGGCUCGUACGUUGCUGAGUCUCAUCCGUCUCUCGCAGGCGUGCGCCCGCCUGCGCUUCUCGGAGCGCGUGCUGGAGGAGGACGUACGAGAGGCUGGCCGUCUGCUUGACUGUAGCAAGGCAUCUCUUCAGGAUAGACCGGCCACGGAUAUGCAUCGCAUGGUGACAACAUCUGACGCGUCUAUCUUUUCGGUCAUCAGAGACAUCGCUCGUGGGCGUUCAUCCGUCGAUCUCUCCGAGAUUCGCCCCGCGCUCAUGAUGAAGGGGAUUGGAGAAUCCCACCUGCAGCGAUGCCUUCGAACGUACUGUGAAGUCGGAGUCUGGUCAGUUUCCGGGACAAUGCUGGAGUUUGCAGAAGACUAGAAAAAGAGCAUUUCCAUAGAUACAUUUCUUUUCCCUCGUCUUGCUACCAAAGGCCGCGUGCCUUCCCUUAG
rnacentral:misc_RNA from 1 species